GAUGAACGCUGACAGAAUGCUUAACACAUGCAAGUCAACUUGAAUUUGGGUUUUUAACUUAGGUUUGGGUAGCGGACGGGUGAGUAACGCGUAAAGAACUUGCCUCACAGCUAGGGACAACAUUUGGAAACGAAUGCUAAUACCUAAUAUUAUGAUAAUAGGGCAUCCUAUAAUUAUGAAAGCUAUAAGCGCUGUGAGAGAGCUUUGCGUCCCAUUAGCUAGUUGGAGAGGUAACGGCUCACCAAGGCGAUGAUGGGUAGCCGGCCUGAGAGGGUGAUCGGCCACAAGGGGACUGAGACACGGCCCUUACUCCUACGGGAGGCAGCAGUGGGGAAUAUUGGACAAUGGACCGAGAGUCUGAUCCAGCAAUUCUGUGUGCACGAUGAAGUUUUUCGGAAUGUAAAGUGCUUUCAGUUGGGAAGAAACAAAUGACGGUACCAACAGAAGAAGUGACGGCUAAAUACGUG
rnacentral:rRNA from 1 species